GUCUACAACCAUACCACCCUGAAUGUGCCCCAUCUCAUCUGAUCUCAGAAGCUAAGCAGGAUUCGGCCUGGUUAGUACUUGGAUGGGAAAAAUUCUAUGCUGUCAAAGACA
ensembl:rRNA 5S_rRNA 5S ribosomal RNA